GCAAGUUAAAUCAGAAUCUGAACGUGGGGAACAUCAGGAGUCUUAAAUGUUUCUCAGGUGAUUCCAUUUGGCAGCCGAGUUUGAAAACCCCUGGUCUAGGUUCUUGAUGCUUAGUGAAAACCUCUUCCUGGGGGUUUUUAUUAAAGACUUGUUCCUGAUUGGUUACGGGACCUGGAGCUCUCCCAGUUGGCUACUGCCUACUUCCAGCUACGUUCAACCCUGACUGGGUGCUCCAUUCCCAGGUGAAAGAUGCCCCAUUCUAGUUACUGUCUCCAAGGGCAGUUACUAGUUACUGUCUCCUCCUUCGAAUCAGACCCUCCAGGCUGCCAGAGGCUGUCACCAUCUCACUGUGCUCUCCACCUACCUCACGAUAGAAACUGCUGCCUAAAUCUCUUCUACCCCAUCCUAACUUCCUCCCAAAGUGUGGUGGCAAUGCUUUGCUCUCCAGAAAGAUCAUUCCUAGUUCCUUGGCCCCGUCUCUCUUUUAGGCCUCCAGCAUCCAGCAGAGCAGCCUCUGAAACACCCAGAGGGUGGAAGCGAGGACAUGGAAAGAAACACAGGGAAAACACAGCUGCCUGACAACCUAAGAAUUGAGAGGCUGGAUGCAGCUUCAGGGCCACAGAAUGUACCUUGAUCCCAUAUCCAACCGUCUCAUCUUGCAGAUUAAGGCUCUAGAGCCCAGUGACAACUCAGGAUUUCUCCGUGUCGCACACUGAGUACUCAGGACAUCUUUUUUUUUUUUCAGAAUUAGUUCUUAAAGAUUGUGAAACCAGAGAUUCUGCAACUUAAAAAGCAUCUUAGGAAGUCAACCAAUUCAACCAGCCCAAAGUAAAAGCCAGUUCAGUAACCCCUCUGAAAAGACAUCCCUUAAGAAAUGACAGAUUGCUAACUGCCUUCACCCCCUCACAGGAGCCCACUCCAUCCUGAGAAUUAUCAUCUUAUAAAAUCACACUUUGGGCCCAAA